rnacentral:rRNA from 1 species
UACGUAGGGUGCGAGCGUUGUCCGGAAUUACUGGGCGUAAAGAGCUCGUAGGUGGUUUGUCGCGUUGUUCGUGAAAUCUCACGGCUUAACUGUGAGCGUGCGGGCGAUACGGGCAGACUAGAGUACUGCAGGGGAGACUGGAAUUCCUGGUGUAGCGGUGGAAUGCGCAGAUAUCAGGAGGAACACCGGUGGCGAAGGCGGGUCUCUGGGCAGUAACUGACGCUGAGGAGCGAAAGCGUGGGGAGCAAAAGGG